rnacentral:rRNA from 1 species
AUUGAACGCUGGCGGCAGGCCUAACACAUGCAAGUCGAACGGUAACAGGAAGCAGCUUGCUGCUUUGCUGACGAGUGGCGGACGGGUGAGUAAUGUCUGGGAAACUGCCUGAUGGAGGGGGAUAACUACUAGAAACGGUAGCUAAUACCGCAUAACGUCGCAAGACCAAAGAGGGGGACCUUAGGGCCUCUUGCCAUCGGAUGUGCCCAGAUGGGAUUAGCUAGUAGGUGGGGUAACGGCUCACCUAGGCGACGAUCCCUAGCUGGUCUGAGAGGAUGACCAGCCACACUGGAACUGAGACACGGUCCAGACUCCUACGGGAGGCAGCAGUGGGGAAUAUUGCACAAUGGGCGCAAGCCUGAUGCAGCCAUGCCGCGUGUAUGAAGAAGGCCUUCGGGUUGUAAAGUACUUUCAGCGGGGAGGAAGGGAGUAAAGUUAAUACCUUUGCUCAUUGACGUUACCCGCAGAAGAAGCACCGGCUAACUCCGUG